CAGUCGCCGCGGUAAUACGUAGGUGGCAAGCGUUGUCCGGAAUUAUUGGGCGUAAAGGGCUCGCAGGCGGUUUCCUAAGUCUGAUGUGAAAGCCCCCGGCUCAACCGGGGAGGGUCAUGGAAACUGGGUAACUUGAGUGCAGAAGAGGAGAGUGGAAUUCCACGUGUAGCGGUGAAAUGCGUAGAGAUGUGGAGGAACACCAGUGGCGAAGGCGACUCUCUGGUCUGUAACUGACGCUGAGGAGCGAAAGCGUGGGGAGCGAACAGGAUUAGAGACCCCAGUAGUCCCUGUCUCUUAUACC
rnacentral:rRNA from 1 species